GCCACAUUCGCUGUGGGUGGAGAAGAUAAGGACGUUAAAAGGAGAGACAGUAACAACUUUUCAAACGUGAUACAAAAGGAAACACAACUAACCACCAAAGACAAACUCUCUGUCCCUCGUUUUGUCAGACCUCAGCGUUUCUCAAUACAUGGCGGAUCAAACCCAGAACCCACAAAUCUUUGAGCUCAACAAUGGAAGCAUGCUAGUCAAGAUCACCAACCUCGGUUGCAGUAUUACUUCCUUGUCCGUACCUGACAGAAAUGGGAAUUUAGCUGAUGUUGUUCUUGGAUUCGACUCUGUUGAGCCAUAUCUGAAAGGUGCUGCACCUUAUUUUGGGGCCAUUGUUGGCCGAGUGGCAAACAGGAUUAAAAAUGGAAAGUUUACUCUCAAUGGGGUCGAGUACACUUUGCCCAUUAACAAGCCUCCAAACAGUCUUCAUGGUGGGCACAAGGGUUUUGAUAAGGUGAUAUGGGAGGUAGCAGAAUAUAAGAAGGGUGAAAACUCAUCAAUUACCUUCAAGUAUCAAAGUCAUGAUGGAGAGGAAGGUUACCCUGGGGAUCUUUCUGCAACUGCAACUUACACUCUUACUUCAAGCACGACAAUGAGGCUCGACAUGGAAGCAGUGCCCAAGGAUAAAGCAACUCCAGUCAGCUUAGCGCAGCAUACCUAUUGGAACUUAGCUGGCCACAACUCUGGGAACAUACUAGACCAUUCAAUUCAAAUAUGGGGAUCUCAUGUUACACCUGUAGAUGAGAACACUGUACCAACUGGUGAAAUCAUGCCAGUUAAAGGCACACCUUUUGACUUCUCCUCUGAGAAGAGAGUUGGUGCUUCAAUCCAUGAAGUUGGUUUAGGCUAUGAUCACAACUACGUGGUUGACUGCGGGGAAGAGAAAUCAGGUUUGAAACGUGCUGCAAAACUUAAAGAUCCAUCAAGCUCAAGGGUGCUUAACUUGUGGACCAAUGCUCCUGGGAUGCAGUUUUACACUGGAAACUAUGUGAAUGGAGUUGUUGGUAAAGGAGGUGCUGUUUAUGGAAAGCAUUCAGGUCUGUGUUUGGAGACACAAGGAUUCCCUAAUGCCAUAAACCAAUCAAACUUCCCUUCAGUGGUCGUUCAACCUGGUGAGACGUAUAAGCACACCAUGUUGUUUGAGUUUUCAGUUGAGUGAAUUAGUAGUAUUGACUAUUGAGUGGCUGUGAGAAUGAAGCUUGGUUCUGGUUUUGCAGAAUUGCAAACGAGAACUUAUGGUCAUUUUACAUUUGAUACCACAUUUACAUCCUUAACGCAUUUUGCAUGCCAAUGCUCAAUGGCUUGAAGUAUGAACAAGCACAAACUUAAUUUACCUUGUGUCAAAAUAUUUAAUUAAUAAAUGAGGUAAG
rnacentral:misc_RNA from 1 species